GGAGGGAUGCUCAGCGGCAGAGCAGGUGCUUGGCAUGCACAAGGUCCUGGGUUCAAUCCCCAGUGCCUCUG
rnacentral:tRNA from 1 species